rnacentral:lncRNA from 1 species
UAGAUGACUUACGAAUGCAUUUCUGUCUCAGGCUUCUGUGCUUUCUGUCUUUGUACUGAAGAAACGUUGAUUUUUGUGAAACUCUUACCCCUUCUGCAGAUGAAUUGGAUGAGGCGUUCACAGAACUGAGGUUCCUGAUAAAGGCCUACCUGGGUUUGGAGCCACCUGCAGUUUCUGAUAGCAGUCAAGACUUGAACAGCAAAGCAGGAACAGGUUCAAGAAUGCGUCUCUUACAGGAGCAAUCAUUGUCACCCAGCAGACUAAUUGCUGGCACUGCUCAGUCUUCCUCUGUCAAUGAGUUCUUGGACUCUUCUGCCAAAAACUGUUCAGGAGGCACCUUGGACAAGUUUGCUGCACAACUGACCUCUGUGGAAGAAGCUUCUCUCCAAAGGCGCCAUGCUGCAGCACGUCAGGCUCUGUCAGGGAAGGCACCUAGUGCAUAUGUCCAGCUGUUUCAAAGGGACCUAGCAGUCACUCCUGCACCAGGCAGCUCCCGUCAACAACUACUGGAGCCAGCAACACAUCCUUCUCUGGUCUCAGAUGGAAGGAGUGUCACCCAAGAGCACAGCUUCCCCUUGAAUAACCCAGAGAGCCGCUGCAGAGGAUCUGGUCCUGCCAGAAGGCUAUUCCUAAACUCCGCCGGUGCACCUGCUGCUGAAGGCCUGCCUGUGCUCACCCCUGCUCCCCACACUCGUCUCACUGAAGAUGUCCAAGCUGAGCACCAGGAUGCACGGGGAGCUGAAAACGGAGCGGACAGACUGCAAGAGAAUGAACUCCACCGUGACAGUCUUCCGAGGAAGCACAGCAAACCCAAGGCUGGUUCUUCUCAUGUGCUUCAGCUCAGCAACUGGCCCGGCUCCCACUCCAGACCUGUCCUACCUCCAAUCCCACCCCGGAGGAAGAGCACCAACCCUUGACGGUCACUGCUAGCCAAGUCUUCGUCUCGGUCACACCCAAUCCUGCCUAAUGGGGAUACUGAUUUUGAUAGAUUUUGCUUUUUUCAAAAGAAAUUAUAUCAAAGAUUAUUUCUAAAUCCCUUUCUGAUUAAACCGCCGAAAAGUUAUUUAUUUAUAACUUUAUUAAAAAGUAAUUUCUGCAUUUCCCAACACUAAAAAUGAUUUCCCCAGGCAUUCUCAGCUGGGAAAUGGUGUAGAAUUUUUUUCCUCACAGCCACAAGUCCACAUCUUCUAUUAAUUUCUUUCUUUCCUCCCCCUCCUAUUUUAUAGAUUUAAUUGCUGUGGAAGCAUCGGGGCUUCUGAUAAUAUCCCUGAUAUUGUAGGACUAGUGAAUUCUUUUGAAGAGGGAUUUUGUGAAAUGUUCAGUGUUGUUGGGAGUGAAAACCAGUUGCAAGUCUAUUUUUAAUAAAAUGUGGUUUUUUUUUGAAGAGUUGAGACA